GAUGAACGCUAGCGGCGUGCCUAAUACAUGCAAGUCGAGCGAACGGACGAGAAGCUUGCUUCUCUGAUGUUAGCGGCGGACGGGUGAGUAACACGUGGAUAACCUACCUAUAAGACUGGGAUAACUUCGGGAAACCGGAGCUAAUACCGGAUGAUAUUUUGAACCGCAUGGUUCAAAAGUGAAAGACGGUCUUGCUGUCACUUAUAGAUGGAUCCGCGCUGCAUUAGCUAGUUGGUAAGGUAACGGCUUACCAAGGCAACGAUGCAUAGCCGACCUGAGAGGGUGAUCGGCCACACUGGAACUGAGACACGGUCCAGACUCCUACGGGAGGCAGCAGUAGGGAAUCUUCCGCAAAGGGCGAAAGCCUGACGGAGCAACGCCGCGUGAGUGAUGAAGGUCUUCGGAUCGUAAAACUCUGUUAUUAGGGAAGAACAUAUGUGUAAGUAACUGUGCACAUCUUGACGGUACCUAAUCAGAAAGCCACGGCUAACUACGUG
rnacentral:rRNA from 1 species